rnacentral:tRNA from 1 species
UGGGGAUAGAGGGACUUGAACCCUCACGGUCUAUAAACCAACGGAUUUUAAGUCCGUAGCGUCUACCAAUUCCGCCAUAUCCCC